AUUGAACGCUGGCGGCAGGCCUAACACAUGCAAGUCGAGCGGAGCGGCGGACGGGUGAGUAAUGCCUAGGAAUCUGCCUGGUAGUGGGGGAUAACGUCCGGAAACGGGCGCUAAUACCGCAUACUAUCAGAUGAGCCUAGGUCGGAUUAGCUAGUUGGUGGGGUAAAGGCCUACCAAGGCGACGAUCCGUAACUGGUCUGAGAGGAUGAUCAGUCACACUGGAAAUGGGACACGGUCCAGAGUGCGACGGGAGGGAGCAGUGGGGAAUAAUGGACAAUGGGCGAAAACCUGAUGCAGCGACGCCGCGUGGGGGAUGAAGGCUUGCGGGUUGUAAUCCUCUUUCGCUAUCGAACGGGUAGGUGCAGAAGAAGCGCCGGCUAACUACGUGCCAGCAGCCGCGGUAAUAC
rnacentral:rRNA from 1 species